UCGUAUUACAUGUUUUGUGCGUGAAUCUAAUUCAACAGGCUUAUGUUUGAGAUUUUUAACAAAUCCGAAAUUUUGCUGUUGGAUUAGAUUCACGCACAAACUCGUAAUCUGUCU
rnacentral:pre_miRNA from 1 species